CCAAUAGCGUAUAUUAAAGUUGUUGCAGUUAAAAAGCUCGUAGUUGAAUUUCGGGGUUCUACCGUUGGUCGGGCUUUGUCUGUACUGGCGUGUAGAAUUUCUACCUUCUGGGGAACCAUCAUGUUAUUAAUUUAGCGUGGUGGGAAACCAGGACCUUUACCUUGAAAAAAUUAGAGUGUUCAAAGCAGGCUUAUGUCUGAAUACAUUAGCAUGGAAUAAUAGAAUAGGACGGUGGUCCUGUUUUGUUGGUUUCUGAAUCACCGUAAUGAUUAAGAGGGAUAGUUGGGGGCCUUAGUAUUCAAUUGUCAGAGGUGAAAUUCUUGGAUUUAUUGAAGACUAACUUCUGCGAAAGCAUUUGCCAAGGAUGUUUUCAUUAAUCAAGAACGAAAGUUAGGGGAUCGAAGACGAUCAGAUACCGUCGUAGUCUUAACCAUAAACUAUGCCGACUAGGGAUCGGACGAUGUUAACUUUUCUUGACUCGUUCGGCGCCUUACG
rnacentral:rRNA from 1 species